AGUAUCGCGUUUGUAACCUACCCUUAACUGGAAGAUAGCCCCCGGAAACGGGGAUUAAUAUUCCAUGAUAUUUCAAAGAGGCAUCUCUUUGUUCUUAAAGCUCCGGCGGUUAAGGAUGGGCAUGCGUGACAUUAGUUAGUUGGUGAGGUAACGGCUUACCAAGACUACGAUGUCUAGGGGGUCUGAGAGGAUGAUCCCCCACACUGGUACUGAGACACGGACCAGACUCCUACGGGAGGCAGCAGUGAGGAAUAUUGGUCAAUGGACGCAAGUCUGAACCAGCCAUGCCGCGUGCAGGAUGACGGCCCUAUGGGUUGUAAACUGCUUUUAUACAGGAAGAAACCCCCCGACGUGUCGGGGGCUGACGGUACUGUAAGAAUAAGCAUCGGCUAACUCCGUGCCAGCAGCCGCGGUAAUACGGAGGAUGCAAGCGUUAUCCGGAUUUAUUGGGUUUAAAGGGUGCGCAGGCGGGGCAGUAAGUCAGUGGUGAAAUCCUGCGGCUUAACCGUAGAAUUGCCAUUGAUACUGUUGUCCUUGAGUGUAGUUGAGGUAGGCGGAAUAUGUAAUGUAGCGGUGAAAUGCAUAGAUAUUACAUAGAACACCAAUUGCGAAGGCAGCUUACUAAACUAUUACUGACGCUGAGGCACGAAAGCGUGGGGAGCAAACAGGAUUAGAUACCCUGGUAGUCCACGCUGUAAACGAUGAUCACUCGUUGUUGGCAAUACACCGUCAGCGACUGAGCGAAAGCAUUAAGUGAUCCACCUGGGGAGUACGGUCGCAAGAUUGAAACUCAAAGGAAUUGACGGGGGCCCGCACAAGCGGAGGAACAUGUGGUUUAAUUCGAUGAUACGCGAGGAACCUUACCUGGGCUUAAAUGCAAAGCGACGCCCCGGGAAACCGGGGUUCCCUUCGGGGCGAAUUGCAAGGUGCUGCAUGGCUGUCGUCAGCUCGUGCCGUGAGGUGUCGGGUUAAGCCCCAUAUCGAGCGCAACCCCUAUCGUUAGUUGCCAGUGGGUAAUGCCGGGGAGUCUAAUGAAACUGCCAGUGUAAACUGCGAGGAAGGUGGGGAUGAUGUCAAGUCAGCACGUCCUUUAUGUCCAGGGCUACACUCCUGUUACAAUGGCCGG
rnacentral:rRNA from 1 species